rnacentral:rRNA from 1 species
AUUGAACGCUGGCGGCAGGCCUAACACAUGCAAGUCGAACGAGUGGCGGACGGGUGAGUAAUGUAUGGGCAACUGCCCGAUGGAGGGGGCUAAGGACUGGAAACGGUAGAUAAUACCGCAAAACAUCGGAUGUGCCCAGGUGGGAUUAGCUAGUCGGUGGGGUAACGGCUCACCUAGGCGACGAUCCCUAGCUGGUCUGAGAGGAUGACCGGCCACACUGGAACUGAGACACGGCCCAGACUCCUACGGGAGGCAGCAGUGGGGAAUAUUGCACAAUGGGCGCAAGCCUGAUGCAGCCAUGCCGCGUGAAUGAAGAAGGCUUUCGGGUUGUAAAGUACUUUCAGCGAGGAGGCGUUACUCGCACAAGAAGCACCGGCUAACUCCGUGCCAGCAGCCGCGGUAAUUC